AGUGAACGCUGGCGGUAGGCCUAACACAUGCAAGUCGAACGGCAGCACAGUAAGAGCUUGCUCUUACGGGUGGCGAGUGGCGGACGGGUGAGGAAUACAUCGGAAUCUACUUUUUCGUGGGGGAUAACGUAGGGAAACUUACGCUAAUACCGCAUACGACCUACGGGUGAAAGCAGGGGAUCUUCAGACCUUGCGCGAUUGAAUGAGCCGAUGUCGGAUUAGCUAGUUGGCGGGGUAAAGGCCCACCAAGGCGACGAUCCGUAGCUGGUCUGAGAGGAUGAUCAGCCACACUGGAACUGAGACACGGUCCAGACUCCUACGAGAGGCAGCAGUGGGGAAUAUUGGACAAUGGGCGCAAGCCUGAUCCAGCCAUACCGCGUGGGUGAAGAAGGCCUUCGGGUUGUAAAGCCCUUUUGUUGGGAAAGAAAAGCAGCAGGUUAAUACCCCGCUGUUCUGACGGUACCCAAAGAAUAAGCACCGGCUAACUUCGUG
rnacentral:rRNA from 1 species